UACGGAGGGUGCGAGCGUUACUCGGAGUCACUGGGCGUAAAGCGUCCGUAGGCGGUCGGGUAAGUCGGGUGUGAAAGCCCCGGGCUCAACCUGGGAAGUGCACCCGAUACUGCUCGACUCGAGUGCGGGAGAGGAUGGCGGAAUUCCCGGUGUAGCGGUGAAAUGCGUAGAGAUCGGGAGGAACACCAGUGGCGAAGGCGGCCAUCUGGCCCGCAACUGACGCUGAGGGACGAAAGCGUGGGGAGCAAACAGGAUUAGAAACCCUAGUAGUCC
rnacentral:rRNA from 1 species